rnacentral:rRNA from 1 species
UACGGGGGGGGCAAGCGUUGUUCGGAAUUACUGGGCGUAAAGGGCUCGUAGGCGCCAACUAAGUCAGACGUGAAAUCCCUCGGCUCAACCGGGGAACUGCGUCUGAUACUGGAUGGCUUGAAUUCGGGAGAGGGAUGCGGAAUUCCAGGUGUAGCGGUGAAAUGCGUAGAUAUCUGGAGGAACACCGGUGGCGAAGGCGGCAUCCUGGACCGAGAUUGACGCUGAUGCGCGAAAGCCAGGGGAGCAAACGG